rnacentral:rRNA from 1 species
AAUAUUGGACAAUGGGUGAAAGCCUGAUCCAGCCAUCCCGCGUGAAGGACGACGGCCCUAUGGGUUGUAAACUUCUUUUGUGUAGGAAUAAACCUAGAUACGUGUAUCUAGCUGAAGGUACUAUACGAAUAAGCACCGGCUAACUCCGUGCCAGCAGCCGCGGUAAUACGGAGGGUGCAAGCGUUAUCCGGAUUUAUUGGGUUUAAAGGGUCCGUAGGCGGACCUGUAAGUCAGUGGUGAAAUCUCAUAGCUUAACUAUGAAACUGCCAUUGAUACUGCAGGUCUUGAGUGAAUUUGAGGUAGCUGGAAUAAGUAGUGUAGCGGUGAAAUGCAUAGAUAUUACUUAGAACACCAAUUGCGAAGGCAGGUUACCAAGAUUCAACUGACGCUGAGGGACGAAAGCGUGGGGAGCGAACAGGAUUAGAUACCCUGGUAGUCCACGCUGUAAACGAUGCUAACUCGUUUUUGGGCUUUUGGGCUCAGAGACCAAGCGAAAGUGAUAAGUUAGCCACCUGGGGAGUACGUUCGCAAGAAUGAAACUCAAAGGAAUUGACGGGGGCCCGCACAAGCGGUGGAUUAUGUGGUUUAAUUCGAUGAUACGCGAGGAACCUUACCAAGGCUUAAAUGGGAAAUGACCGGUUUAGAAAUAGACCUUUCGCAAGACAUUUUUCAAGGUGCUGCAUGGUUGUCGUCAGCUCGUGCCGUGAGGUGCUAGGUUAAGUCCUGCAACGAGCGCAACCCCUGUCACUAGUUGCUACCAUUAAGUUGAGGACUCUAGUGAGACUGCCUACGCAAGUAGAGAGGAAGGUGGGGACGACGUCAAAUCAUCACGGCCCUUACGCCUUGGGCCACACACGUAAUACAAUGGCCGGUACAGAGGGCAGCUACACAGCGAUGUGAUGCAAAUCUCGAAAGCCGGUCUCAGUUCGGAUUGGAGUCUGCAACUCGACUCUAUGAAGCUGGAAUCGCUAGUAAUCGCGCAUCAGCCAUGGCGCGGUGAAUACGUUCCCGGGCCUUGUACACACCGCCCGUCAAGCCAUGGAAGUCUGGGGUACCUGAAGUCGGUGACCGUAAAAGGAGCUGCCUAGGGUAAAACAGGUAACUAGGGCU